rnacentral:rRNA from 1 species
GACGAACGCUGGCGGCAUGCCUUACACAUGCAAGUCGAACGGUAACGGGCCUUCGGGUGCCGACGAGUGGCGAACGGGUGAGUAAUGUAUCGGAACGUACCUUUCAGUGGGGGAUAACGUAGCGAAAGUUACGCUAAUACCGCAUAUUCUGUGAGCGGGAAAGCAGGGGAUCGCAAGACCUUGCGCUGAUUGAGCGGCCGAUAUCAGAUUAGCUAGUUGGUGAGGUAAAGGCUCACCAAGGCGACGAUCUGUAGCGGGUCUGAGAGGAUGAUCCGCCACACUGGAACUGAGACACGGUCCAGACUCCUACGGGAGGCAGCAGUGGGGAAUUUUGGACAAUGGGGGGCAACCCUGAUCCAGCCAUGCCGCGUGAGUGAAGAAGGCCUUCGGGUUGUUAAAGG